rnacentral:rRNA from 1 species
CCUACGGGUGGCAGCAGUGGGGAAUAUUGCACAAUGGGGGAAACCCUGAUGCAGCGACGCCGCGUGAAGGAAGAAGUAUUUCGGUAUGUAAACUUCUAUCAGCAGGGAAGAAAAUGACGGUACCUGACUAAGAAGCCCCGGCUAACUACGGGCCAGCAGCCGCGGUAAUACGUAGGGGGCAAGCGUUAUCCGGAUUUACUGGGUGUAAAGGGAGCGUAGGCGGCGAUGCAAGUCAGAAGUGAAAGCCCGGGGCUCAACCCCGGGACUGCUUUUGAAACUGUGUUGCUAGAGUGCAGGAGAGGUAAGUGGAAUUCCUAGUGUAGCGGUGAAAUGCGUAGAUAUUAGGAGGAACACCAGUGGCGAAGGCGGCUUACUGGACUGUAAAUGACGCUGAGGCUCGAAAGCGUGGGGAGCAAACAGGAUUAGAUACCCGUGUAGUC